rnacentral:rRNA from 1 species
GAUGAACGCUGGCGGCGUGCCUAAUACAUGCAAGUCGAGCGAACGGACGAGAAGCUUGCUUCUCUGAUGUUAGCGGCGGACGGGUGAGUAACACGUGGAUAACCUACCUAUAAGACUGGGAUAACUUCGGGAAACCGGAGCUAAUACCGGAUAAUAUUUUGAACCGCAUGGUUCAAAAGUGAAAGACGGUCUUGCUGUCACUUAUAGAUGGAUCCGCGCUGCAUUAGCUAGUUGGUAAGGUAACGGCUUACCAAGGCAACGAUGCAUAGCCGACCUGAGAGGGUGAUCGGCCACACUGGAACUGAGACACGGUCCAGACUCCUACGGGAGGCAGCAGUAGGGAAUCUUCCGCAAUGGGCGAAAGCCUGACGGAGCAACGCCGCGUGAGUGAUGAAGGUCUUCGGAUCGUAAAACUCUGUUAUUAGGGAAGAACAUAUGUGUAAGUAACUGUGCACAUCUUGACGGUACCUAAUCAGAAAGCCACGGCUAACUACGUGCCAGCAGCCGCGGCAAUACGUAGGUGGCAAGCGUUAUCCGGAAUUAUUGGGCGUAAAGCGCGCGUAGGCGGUUUUUUAAGUCUGAUGUGAAAGCCCACGGCUCAACCGUGGAGGGUCAUUGGAAACUGGAAAACUUGAGUGCAGAAGAGGAAAGUGGAAUUCCAUGUGUAGCGGUGAAAUGCGCAGAGAUAUGGAGGAACACCAGUGGCGAAGGCGACUUUCUGGUCUGUAACUGACGCUGAUGUGCGAAAGCGUGGGGAUCGAACAGGAUUAGAUACCCUGGUAGUCCACGCCGUAAACGAUGAGUGCUAAGUGUUAGGGGGUUUCCGCCCCUUAGUGCUGCAGCUAACGCAUUAAGCACUCCGCCUGGGGAGUACGACCGCAAGGUUGAAACUCAAAGGAAUUGACGGGGACCCGCACAAGCGGUGGAGCAUGUGGUUUAAUUCGAAGCAACGCGAAGAACCUUACCAAAUCUUGACAUCCUUUGACAACUCUAGAGAUAGAGCCUUCCCCUUCGGGGGACAAAGUGACAGGUGGUGCAUGGUUGUCGUCAGCUCGUGUCGUGAGAUGUUGGGUUAAGUCCCGCAACGAGCGCAACCCUUAAGCUUAGUUGCCAUCAUUAAGUUGGGCACUCUAAGUUGACUGCCGGUGACAAACCGGAGGAAGGUGGGGAUGACGUCAAAUCAUCAUGCCCCUUAUGAUUUGGGCUACACACGUGCUACAAUGGACAAUACAAAGGGCAGCGAAACCGCGAGGUCAAGCAAAUCCCAUAAAGUUGUUCUCAGUUCGGAUUGUAGUCUGCAACUCGACUACAUGAAGCUGGAAUCGCUAGUAAUCGUAGAUCAGCAUGCUACGGUGAAUACGUUCCCGGGUCU